rnacentral:lncRNA from 1 species
AUUCAAGGUUGUUCCCUAAGGACAAAUAAUAAUGUACUGAUAUAUUUAUAUGUUAAAAUGACAAAAACUUCUAAAAUAUUAAUUACAUUAUGUCUUAUUAAGUUUUAUCCCCUAAAACAAGUAAUCUUAGAGAAAUUAAGGUUUGUACAUCUGUGGCUAAACAACAACUGUUAUUUCAAAGUAUUGUCUUACAUUACAAAGUCUAGAUUUUCCUUUAAAAGCUAACCUUGGUUAAUAUAAAAACAUCAAUAAAAGUGUGGUACAUUACUCUUCUUUACAGAUUAAAUGUGUUCAUAUCUUUCAGGCAUAAAAGUCUUUAAAGUAAAAGGUUUAAAGAAACAUUUUAUUAAGGUGGUAUUCUCCAAACUAAAAUUGUCUGUAAUGGUAAUUUAAACUUUUAAAGAUAAUCAAUUUUAUUGGAGAUUUAUUUAUAUCAAUUGAUAUUUUGUAACCAAAUUUUAUGUUACCUUUUGCCCUAAAUUUAAAAAGUAAUGAGAGCCUAAUCUAUUUAAAGAUUAAUAUUAUAAAACAUUUUGCCACUUUUCCACAUGUAAAAAAAAUGUUAAGGGCUCUCAGCCUUUCCUUAAUUAAUGUUUCAGAUGUAUGUCGUAUUGUACUACUAACAUUCAUACAGAGUCAGGAAACAAUAUAUGUAAACUUUAUAAAAUGAUAUCUGAAAAGAGAGACAAAGAUCAGCUUUAAAAUUAAAACACUUUACUUAAGAUUUGUAAAGAGCCCUGCCUUAUCUGAGAUAAGGCUCUGCCUCCCACCUUACAACAUGUCAAAAUAACUUCAAAGUAGACGAGAUUUCAGUUAAUUUAAAGUUAUAUUCAAAGAUUAAUUUUAUUACAAAAAUUACUGUAAUUUCAAAUAAAAAAUAUAAUGUAUAACUCAGCCAAGGUUCAAAAUAAUAUACAAGCUAAAUAUGUUUUUACUAUUGUUAAUUUCACUUUGUAUUUUCAUUAUAACUAAAAAAAGUGACCACUACACUCAAAACAACCAAGAGACCUUUACUGUGACAAUGUCUGAUUAACACAAGAGAGAGAGAGAGAGAAAGUGAGGGGGGGGGGAGAGAGAGAGAGAGAGAGAGAGAGAGAGAAAAGUACGAGAGAGAGAAAGAAGAAAAAAAAGUGAGAGGGAGAAUGAGAGACAGGGAAAGUGAGAGAAAAAGGAGAGAGCAAGAGAGGAGGACCUGGCAAGAGAGAGUUUUUAUAGCCAAAAAUCUAAUGGGGUCUCUAGGUCUGCAAACUGCCUUGUUGGUGUACAGUGAUUGGAUCAUACAGUAGAUGCUAAGGUGUCAUCUUCUGCCUUCAGGCAGAUCUUCAGCAUUACGUAAAUUAAUAAAUAAAAUAAGGAUAUUGUGUUAUGUAAAAAUUAACUGUAAAGUUAUUAAGAUUAAAGUUAAAGCCCAGCAUUCUUACUUUAAAACUGGUAAAACUGACUUGCUGGAUGUUUAAGGCCAAAUUUAAAUAUUAAGGUUAAAAUAAAGGGUCCAAAGAAACCAAUAUUUGGCUCUUGCCCUCUAAGUCAGCCUGAACCCAGGAAAGGGAAAAAGCUUUGCAACUCCAGGCCACAUAACCUCCCGAUAAGGGAGAUUAAUGAGACCACUGGAGAAUAGAAAGCCAAUGAAUGUACAUGCUGCAAAAGAGGAGGGGUCAUUUAAAAAGGAGACAUGCCUGAUGCUUCCAAGGGAAGCCAUAUGGUCAGCAAGACCUUGACCCAUCCUAAUGCAGAUGACACUAACAGAGCUAAAAUGCUACUCACACAUUCCCCAAGAAUGUCCUCCAAGGAAACUCAGCUGAUUCUUACCAAUAGAUAGAAACAAGGUCAGUUUGACCAGCUUGGUCUUAAACACCUAGCAAAAACAGUUAAAACCAAAGCACAGCCAUUCCUGGACAUUUACAAAAAAAACAACAGUUAUUUUAAUGUAACUUUAAAUGUACACUAGUGUUAGCAUCCCCCAAAAUAAGUAAGACUGGAGACAACAGAAGAAAAAUUCUUAGGCAAAAAUGCCUGAUAACUAUCAAUAAAAAACUGCCAGAAGUUUUUAGUCAGUUUAAGGCCUACAGAUCUUCCUAACUUCCUACAUAGGUAGGUGUAAUCAAUGUUU